AGUAACUGUCUGUUAGGUGGUAGUAACUAUCUGCUAGGUGGUAGUAACUCUCUGUUAGGUGGUAGUAACUGUCUAACUGUCUGUUAGGUGGCUGUAACUUUCUGUUAAGUGGUAGUAACUGUCUGUUAGGUGGCAGUAACCGUCUGUUAGGUGGUAGUAACUGUCUGUAACUGUCUGUUAGAUGGUAGUAACUGUCUGUUAGGUGGCAGUAACUGUCUGUUAGGUGGUAGUAACUGUCUGUAACUGUCUGUUAGGUGGUAGUAACUGUCUGUUAGGUGGCAGUAACUGUCUGUUAGGUGGUAGUAACUGUCUGUUAGGUGGUAGUAACUGUCUAACUGUCUGUUAGGUGGCAGUAACUGUCUGUUAGGUGGUAGUAACUGUCUGUUAGGUGGUAGUAACUAUCUG
ensembl:lncRNA